AGUGAACGCUGGCGGUAGCCUAACCCAUGCAAGUCGAACGGCAGCACAGUAAGAGCUUGCUCUUACGGGUGGCGAGUGGCGGACGGGUGAGGAAUACAUCGGAAUCUACUUUUUCGUGGGGGAUAACGUAGGGAAACUUACGCUAAUACCGCAUACGACCUACGGGUGAAAGCAGGGGAUCUUCGGACCUUGCGCGAUUGAAUGAGCCGAUGUCGGAUUAGCUAGUUGGCGGGGUAAAGGCCCACCAAGGCGACGAUCCGUAGCUGGUCUGAGAGGAUGAUCAGCCACACUGGAACUGAGACACGGUCCAGACUCCUACGGGAGGCAGCAGUGGGGAAUAUUGGACAAUGGGCGCAAGCCUGAUCCAGCCAUACCGCGUGGGUGAAGAAGGCCUUCGGGUUGUAAAGCCCUUUUGUUGGGAAAGAAAAGCAGCAGGUUAAUACCCCGCUGUUCUGACGGUACCCAAAGAAUAAGCACCGGCUAACUUCGU
rnacentral:rRNA from 1 species